AUACUCGGCUUCCUCUGUUCUGAUGUACAGUGAUAACCCAGGGCAAGGGGUUUCCAGAAAGACAGCAUAUACUCUGGCUCAGCAAGUUACUUAAUCUCACUCAACUGGCCCAGCAGCUGGAUUCACGCAAGUCAGGCGGCCUGGAACUGAUCCUCUCUGGUUGUAGAAUUAAAAAUCUGGCAAGGAUUGGAAAGAUAGUUUACUUAAUAGGGCCUCAAGUAUAGGAAAGCAAUUGAAGGGUGAUUACAGUGAUAGAAUCACUUGAGAGAGGGAGGCAGGGAAACUGUAAGUUACUAUAAAGUUGUGACCUUAUUUUAAACUAGAAAACUUAGUGGUCUCUUAUGUCUUUUGACUUUCAAGCAUUCCUGUGAGAGGGCUGGCAUAAAUGAUUGUUAAUGCUGUUGAUGGGAAAUUUAAAGUAGGAGGAAUCUGCCUACUGGCUUUUAAGAAAAGGUGAUUUCCUGCAAGAUGACCUAAUUGGUUAGGAAACAGAUAAGUGAACCUUCUCUAUGUUCACUUUAAGAGGAAGUUCUAAAAAUUGAGGUGCUCACUCCCGCUCUCUCCUUUUUGAUGAUUGUGAUAUUUAGACCUGCCAAAGCAGUAUAACUUCAUUGUCUGGAAUUUGGUUAAUUCCAAUGCAAAUACAAAAAUCAAAUACGUGAACUGAGCUUUGAAAAUAUUUUCAUUUUUGAGGAUUUUCAUUGUUAUGGGAUUGAGCCUGUAGAAGUCUCUGUGUAAGCUACAUAGAGCAAAUCUAAUCUAUUCACACUGAAGUCAGGGCUCUGUAAAAGACUGUGGGAACAUUCACUCUCCACUCUCUCAGAGACUCUUUUAGGUGGCACUGGCUGAGGCAGAAUGAAUACAGCUGCUGAUUCUGAUCUCACACUGGGUAUAUCCCUGAGUGCUGGAAAAAACAUCACCCUCAGAAGUGUGCAUUCAGCCAGCUGCCUUUGGAGAGAGCUGGGAAGGGUGCAAAGUGGCAUGUCCUUUACCAGUCACUCUUUCUGGGCCAAUGCUUAUCCAGAAAUGAGACAGAACUAUGGAUUUACUGCAAAUGACCAGCAUCCGCAAAGUGAUCAAGACUACCAACUUUGGGUAAUGUGUCCCACAUCUCAGAUGUCAGUUGAUAUAAGACAUUACAGUAAAGAAUUAUGAGUGUUCACUCUGCAAUGAAAAAAUGAAGCAGCAGAAGGUGAAUGUGAAAGACUAAGAAGAGCCCUGCAGAAAACCCGUUAGCCCAUGUUUUCAUCUGUAAUGUGGAUGUGGGAUGGGAAGAGGGACAACGACAUAGUACCGACCAGGUUCCAGAAACUAUUCCAAGUGCUUUACAUGAUAAAAAUCUCUUAAUUGUCUCAACGACCAUAAGAAGUAUAUCUCUAGUGUUGCCCCUAUUUUAUAGAUGACAAAACCUUACUGAUAUCUGUAUAGCUAGUAAGUAGGAGAGACAGGAUUCAAUCUGUCAGCCCAACUCUGCAGGUGCCCGUGUCCCUGCUCUGUGAUCCUGACAGGCAGCCACAGCCAGGAGUCCGUCCUUGUUUUAGAUAUUUCCCAUGUCUGCUGCUCAACUAGACCCUAACGGUGGAUUCUUGGUACAUCCUUACCCAAGGAUAACCCAUAAGUUUUCAUGACAUUACCACGGACUCGUCUUGCUUGUGAAACCAAGUAAUAGUACAAACAGAAGAAUCAUGUGUUAAGAAUUUUUUGAAGUAAAUGAUUCUGUCAUCAUUAUCCUUAAAGAAAGUGAUGUGCCCAAGGUCACACACUUAGUCACUGGUCAGUCCUGGGGCAAACACCCCUUGAUGUCCAGCCCUUGAGUCAGGAUGAUUGCUUCAUCUAGAAGGCACCAUGGGCACUCUGCCUGAAUCCAGGAACCUCUGGAGUUGUAUAUGGCUCUGUCCAAGACAAAGGAAUCCGCUGUACCAGAUCCACAGAAGCCCUGGCUCUAAAUUAAAAACAGCACAACAACAUUGCAGCAACAACAAAAUAGUAACAAAAGGUGGGAAGACCUCGAGAGCAUAAAAAUUUCCUUAAACUGAUCAUCAAGGAAAGGAAAGGGAGGAUUCCUUCUUUAAAGAGGCAAGUGCCUGCCAGCAGGAACCUAAAACUCAUUAUUAUUCUGUAUUUUCUUUUUUCAUGACUAAAAAGUUUUUCUAUCCUCCCCCUUCCUAUCCCUAUCAAAAGACUACCCCCUCCACAAGACAAUCACAAACUUUAAAAGUAGCAAGCCCUCACUUCAAACAAAAUGUAAAAAUAAAAAUUCAAAAACCCAUAGUGUUUGCAAAACAGCUUUGUAUGGAGGAAGGGCAAAUCUUAUCUUAAAAGAGGCUAAUUUCAUAGGAAUCGGGCAAAGAGAGGAGAGGUAGAAAGGGUGGGAGCACAGAAGAAGGGGAGGCGGGAGAGGAGGGGAUAAAGGAGGAAGAAUCGCUGGCUUUAAAAAGCAACAUUGUCCAGAGAGGUGAAAGGGAACAGAUGGCCGUGGAGAAUGUGGCCCUCAAAGCCUGAAGAAAGGGGGGAUGCCGACAGAUCUUGCUGUUUCCCAUUGAUGCCUGAAUGUUCUGGUGCCGGGAGCCGAGGCCAGUGCAGGGGACGGACCUCUGUUCCCAGCAGCUCAUUGGGGCACUGGCGCUGAGGCUCACUGAGAAAAAGAGCAGGCGGGGGUGAGGGGGGCUGGAGGCAGCUGUGGCUGCAGAGGGAAAGGACAGUGGGCAGCAUCGGAGACGUGCAGCUUCCACAGCCUUCUCUUUUGGCCCAGCCCGGGGAGGUCAGCCCAGUGCUGGUCUUUGCCCUGGCAGAGGUGAAGUAAAGGACAGGAGCCAGGGCCCAAAGCCUCAGCAUCCUUCCCCUCAAAACCCACUGGGGGAGCCCUGUCUGGGAUAAAGUAGAUACCUUGGGAGAGGGAAAUGAAGAAAAUAUUCCAAAUGCUUUCAGAGGAUUGAGACAUUCAAAUUAAAAUAAACAAGAAAUCUGGGUCUCUGAAAAAGGUCAGAGAAUCCUGCCAAGGAAACCUUAUAUUAUUUCAUGGAGUCUCAAGGCAGAGAAGUGAUUUGCUGAGAAAAACAAAAAUGAGUUGGUGGCAGACCCAGGAAGGAAUCCAAGAGUCAGUUUCAGAGGACUGAGUCAGCCCCCAAAGAGGUUCAGGAUUCAAGGUGGGCCUCCCUGGUCAUUGCUUGUAGCUGUGCCACACCGGAGGAUUGUUACUGGAGACUCACAAGUCAGUACAGGGCAGCACUAAUACAGGAACCUCUGGCCAGCUGGUGAGCCCGUCCUUCCUGGAGGGAAAAGCCCAGCAGCCCCUGCAGAUGGAGGCCUGAGAACUUGGGAAGGUGGGGAAGGGUUUGCGGAAGCAGCGAUUACAAAGAGGCUCAUAAACUUUAGGGGACAAAGAUGCAAUCACUGUAAUUUCCUUAACUUAACUUUGAUCAGAAAAAUUAUCAUUCCAAAUGACAUCUUGACCUCUCCCUACACCUGCAGAAGAUGUUGAUAAAAUUCAGCCCUGCUCCUGCUGACUAAAGAGGGAGCCACCUUCUGCCUGGCUCACUGUUCAGUCAGCCCACAGAGACUGCACAAGUUCAAAACAAAAUUCCCCCAGUUCUUCUCUUCCUCUGUCUUCUUCCCUGGCCCUAAAAAUGAGAAAGACCUGAAUUUGGGGCAGACGGUCUUUCAAACAGUGGGGCAGGAGUUUGCAGAAACAGAUCCCUCAUCAGAACAAUCUUUUGGAAACAUUCCCACACAUUUCAGGGCCCCAGAAACAUCACCCUCUGUGAGAGUAAAGGAAGUUAAAAGGGGGCCCUAAAUAUAUUUAGUGACCUGGCAAGUUCACCUUUACCUGGGGCUAGGCCUCCAUUGCCAUGUCAAAGAGCCACCAAGCCCCACGUUUUGCACUGUAGAUGCAUCUGAGUCACUGAGAAAAUUCCCAUGGAGCGGCUCAAUAAAAAAAGAUCAACCAUGAUAAA